GAGUCCAGUAGCUUAAUUUAAAAGUACAACACUGAAAAUGUUGAGAUAGCAACAGCUCUGUCUCA
rnacentral:tRNA from 1 species